AGAGAGAGAGACAGAGAGAGACAGAGAGAGAGAGAGAGUCUUUCAGCAGCAACUGCAACGCGCUUCGCUACUCCGUCGUCCCUUCUUCCCCAUGGAUUCUCGUAUUCCCAAUUUACCAUGAGAUCCACUGCAAUUUCCACCAUUUGAAGCGCACGUUAAGCCUCUGCGCAUCGCCAAUCCACGUUAGCUUUUACCCUCUUCCUCUGCGCAUGCCUCCUACCGUAUUUAUCCUCUUCUCUUAUCUCACAUGCACUGAAUUUCAAGUACAGAGAUUUCACUGAGAAAUCCUACGCCUGUGAAAACGUAGCUUUUCUUCCGCUUCGAAUCCGGUCAUUCACUCGACAACGACGACGACGACGACGACGACUACAAUCUGCCGUCCGUUCGAUGAUGCCAAAGCACCGGGACCGGGCCUUGAAAGAGCUCUACGAUCUUACCGGCAAGAUUCGGGGACCUGAGAUCACUCCAGUCUUGAGAGGGAGAUGCCGUAUACAAGGGCCUGUGGAGGAGACCGACCAUGGCGUUCGGACAGUUAAGCAGGAAGGAUCGCCAUCUGAAAAAAGAAUUGUUAAGGGUGCCAUUAAUGAGAAUUUUCAUAUGAGAUUGGAAUCUGGAACGUGUAACGUUUGUGCCACUCCUUGCUCAUCUUGUAUGCAUUUGAACCAAACUAUAUCAGUAAUGGAAUCAAAGAUUGAGGGUGAGUUUUCAGAUGAUGCUGAUAUGGUACCACUUUCCAAGAACAGAGCAUGUGAUGGCAGGCAACGUACAGCUAGCGAAGCCAGUAACUUAGUCAGUGCCAGUUCAAGUCAUGAUUCAUUGUGUGAAAAUGCUCAAAGCAAAGCGACUACGAGGACCUGUGAUGCGCCUGAUGGGUUUGAAGAUGUUGAGAUGCUCCCAAAGUUGUCAUCAAGUAAAACCACUGUGCAAGAUGUGCUCCUUAAUGGAGGACGUGAUAUUGCUUCUCAAAGAACCUCAGGACGGCAUGAGGAGCAGCACGGAUUAGAAUGUCAUGGUGAUAACAUAUCAUGUGUUACUGGAGCUAAAGAAGAAAGCCAGCAUGGUACAACAACUAAAGAGUCUCUUCAGAAAAAAUGUUCUGGUAUUACUUCAGAAACUGCAGAUAUUUCCAACAAGUCUGACCCAUUGGGAUUUCCACCCUCAAAUAAUGUCAAUGCACACAAUAAUUCACCAAAAUUGCAGCUUCCACAUUCUCUUUCUCAAAGAGGCAAUUCAUUAUUUUCUCGUGGAGAUUCUAAAGAUUUGGAAGACAAUUCAAGUUCCCAGCUUAUGGCAGAGACUCCUGAAUGCUCCAUAGAACACACUGAUUCUUCAUUGGCAGAACCUCCGACAAGUAAGGCUGUUGAUGGCCAGAAAUCUGGUGGACUUCCACCUGUUACUAUCGUUCCAAAAAUUGAAGGUAGUAAAGCAAGUCUCAUCAAACGUAGUUUUUCUUCAUCCACUGAAACUGGAGGCCACAAGGAUGGUAACCCACCAAUGAAGUCUAUAAAAUGUUCAGAUAAUAAGCAGCAAUCUGGAAAGUCAAGUGCCUCUUUGGAAGUUUCUGAUAUGCAGGAACAACCUCCACAAUCUCAGCCCAUCGCAGAGUGUGAAAAUUCUGGAUCAGACAUUCUAGAGGAUGAUGUAAAGGUCUGUGAUAUAUGUGGAGAUACAGGCCGGGAGGAGAUGCUUGCUAUUUGUAGCAGAUGCAGUGAUGGCGCAGAGCACACCUAUUGCAUGAGAAUAAUGCUCGAUGAACUUCCAGAAGGUGAUUGGCUAUGUGAAGAAUGCCUCCUGAAGGAGGAUGCUGAAACCCAAAAUGUGGAUAAAGUGGAGGGGACAUCAGCAACUAUAAAAGCACCAUCCUCAAAUGAAAAAAAUCAAAACCAUGGAGGCACCUUCAAUCCUAAGCUUCUCUCUAAGUUGGAUAUCAAAUCUCAGGAAACAGAGGGAAACCAAGCUGUAAAAGUAGCCACAAGUCCACAGCUGUCUGCUAAAAGACUAGCAGAUAAUCUGGAAGUUCCUUCAGUGUCAAAAAGACAGGCCAUUGAAAUGAGCACUGGAUCACCAGGGACUACCAGCCCUGGCAGAAGACCUGCACUGUCUCGAGAGAAUUCAUUCAAGAACUUCGAUGUGGGGAAAGUCAAGCCGGGCCAUUUGUUACCUUCAUCUGCAAGUCGCUCGGGCAACAGUUCUCAAGAGGUUCCCCGCUCCCUUACUUCUCCAGGUCCUAACUCAUCCAGGAUGCAAGCACUCCUUCAGUCACCUCGAGGUGUACUUUCUAAGUCAGCUACUUUCAACAACUCAAGCUUGAAACCAAAAGUAAAACAGAUAUUUGAAGAUGUUGCUCAAAAGAAAAAAAUGGAAAGACAAUCUUCUAUAAGUAGCACAAGAAAGGAGAAAUUGAAUAGAAGUAUUGACAGAUCUAUGUCAUUCAAAACCACAAGCUCAGGCCACUCAAAUGCCAAUGAAUCAAGAACUAAAUUGCAAUCUCCAAAUUUAUCUCGUGCUGAGGAUCCAAGAGGCUUGAAGCAAUCAAAAGAACAUAAUCUAAUAGAGAGGAAGAAUUCUUUUAAAUUGGAUUGCUCAUUGGUUAGUUCAUCACCAAUGGCCAGUCCAAAGAGCAUGUUCCAUGAUGAAAGUAUGUCAUUGCUUGGCUCCAUGAACAAUUCGCGUGAUCCAAAGGCUGCACGCCACGACAGGAAAUUAAACACUCCAUCUGACCCUGCUACUUUCCCUGCUAAAAGAGGAUCAGAAAAUCCAACUACUCCAGUGAAGAAGCAGCCAUCAUGCUUAUCCAGUGGUUUUGCUGUUCCAUCUUCAAAUGGGAAGUACAGUUCUGAGGGACAAAAGCCAUGCCAAGUUGGCCCUAAGGAAGACACAACAGUUUUUUCUCGUGCAGCUGAUGGAUUGUGUGGUGGUCGCGAUGUAACUUUGCAAGAUGGCUUGCUUCGAUCACAGGAAUCCACAAACCAAGAUAGAAAAAGCAAGGAGCCUUCCUCUUUCAGCUUGUCUGGGCAGAAUGUUUCAUCUGGAACUGCAAGUAAACAUGUUCGAUGCCAAAGAUGUAAUGAAGUGGGUCAUACUCUACAAUUUUGUCCAGCUGUGAGCCUUCGUGUUUCUGCUCUCAAGGCUUCUGCUGUGAGAAGUUCAAGGGAGGUGACCCACAAAAGCAACAAGUGGAAAGAUGCUGUAGAAGCAGCCAUGACAAAGACUAGGCUACAUAAAAGUAAUAGAUUGCCUGAUCAAUCAGAGGAAUUAUCUUUGUCAAGUACUGAUUUGAGCUUUGAAGUAGCUUCUAAAGAUCAAUUAUCAAGUUCUUCAAGCUGUUUGAGGAAUUUUUCCCCAGAAGGCACAUUUGAUGAGCAAGAGGCUUUGAGGAGCUCCACUGCUGAUUCUCGUGGAACUGCAGCUGCAUCUACUAUCAAUUCUAAUCAACAAACUGCAUAUUUGAAAGAAAUAGCAUGUGCUUCCAGAGAAGAGAACUUGAAUGGUCCUCUUUUGGAUGCAACUAAACCAAAGCCUUACAUGAUAAAUUUGCCAAAUCAAGCUCCUACACUUGCCAACCCUUUCAGAAUUUCAGCCAUUCCGGAGUAUGAUUACAUAUGGCAGGGCGGCAUUGAGGUGCAGAGAAGUGGAAGAAUUCCUGACUUCUGUGAUGGGAUUCAAGCACACCUGUCAACUUGUGCAUCACUGAAAGUUUUUGAAGUAGUGAAGAAGUUCCCUUGUAAACUCCAGUUGGAGGAAGUUCACCGAUUGAGCUCAUGGCCAAUUCAAUUCCAGCACGACUGUGCCACUGAAGAUAACAUUGCUCUCUACCUCUUCGCUAAAGAUAUGGAUAGUUACGAAAGGAAUUACAAGAAGUUGUUAGAAAAUAUGCUAAAGAAUGAUUUGGCUCUUAAAGGGAACUUUGAGGGAAUUGAGCUUCUCAUAUUUCCAUCAAACCAGCUCCCUGAGAAAUCCCAGCGUUGGAAUAGAUUAUUUUUCCUUUGGGCCGUAUUCAAAGUAAGGAGUACAGAUUGCUCAAAAUUGAAUCCUGGUUCUCAAAAGAAGAUCUGUGGAGCUAGUUCGGAUCUGGACCCUUUGGCCCAAGAUUUGGCCCGCCCUGCCAUGACUGAGGCUGCUAUGUCCCAGAACAUAUGUUCUUAUGGGCAUAUGGAUCAGGAAUUGUCCAACCUCAGAUCACCCAAAGCACCAGAAGUAAUCAAAUCUACUUCUGUGGAUUUGCCGUUUUUAUCGUCUUCUGGUGAAGGGGAUGGUAAUACUUACAUAACAGGAUCAACUCUUCAUCCAAGGUCCACUUUUCAUGAACUCAAAGAGUCAGCAGUUGAUGACACACAUUCAUCUGACAAGAACACUUCGUGUUUAUCGUCUUCUGGGAGAGGGGAUGGCAAUACUUACGUAACAGGUUCAACUCCUGAUCAGAGACCCACUUUUCAUGAACUCAAAGAGUCAGCAGUUGAUGACACACAUUCAUCUGAGAAGAACGCCUCAUGUUUAAUUCAUGGAUUUCAUCCAUCGGCGAGUGUUAAUCAGAUGACAAGUUUAUGUGAGACCUGUUCUUCAUCGAAGAUUCCGAUGAAAAGUCCGCAGUUGUGCUCAGAAGUGAAAAGCAAAUGUACCUCUUUGAAAGAAGUUUAUAGAGAUUCCCAAAGCGGAAUGGAUGUGAGGCUCGAACCUUCUGUUCAAGCAGCAGCUGUGCAAAGUGUUCUUAGUAAAGGUAAAGCAGCGCCAAUGUGCUCAGACAGUUCUAAUGGCAGACAAGCAGGCCUAGCUUCAGGCUCACGAGACAGACAAGAUACUUCAUCUGUCUCAUCCAAGAUACUUCCAGUCACAACUCAUGUUCCAGAAGUAGCUGCUGUGGGUGGCAGAGAUCAGGAGGAAGUGGACUCGGACAAGGAGAAAUUGAUGCAUUCUGUAACUUCCUUGGAGGUGGAUGUUUGGAGGGAGCAAACAAAGCAAGAAGAGAGCACCUGGGAAGUGAGGGCUGGCAGGAAACGCUCACACUCAAUUUCUUCCGAGACAAUCUCAGAAGCUUCUGGUGAAACGUCGAUGAAGACUAGUGAAGCGAUGGUGCACAAAGAGAUGACCGAUUGUGUUCUGGUUGAUGGAGAAAAGCAAAGGAAGAAAAUGAGGACAGGUUCUCAUGAACAGAUUUUGAGGGAUGGAUUUUCUCCUGAAAUAAUUGAGCUGGACUCUAGCAUCCUAAAGGAGGAGCAGAAAGGACAUUGUGCUGAUGACAACACCAUUGUCUCCAAGAGCUCCAGAACAACCGAAAGGUACUUAUUUCCGGUGAAUUCAGGUCCUGUUAGAGACUUAAUAUCCGGCGACUCCAUACCAUGUCAUAUAGUUUCGUCAGACGAUGAGGACUUGCCUGAUUCUGACCUCCCAAAUCUCGAACUUGCAUUGGGGGAUGUAAAGAAACCAUCGAAACGGGGGAUCUUGCCUUUGUUUGUGCCAUUGGUGGAUGAGAAAAGCAACCAAAGCAAGCUUCAAGAUCCUAUGAAAGAUGAUGGGUGUGAUGACGUGUCAGCUUCUCUUUCUCUCUCCCUUGCUUUCCCUUUCUCCAGAAAGGAAGAUACUGCAAAUUCUGCUCCGAAGAAAGACCAGCUCCUGCCUGAGAGGCACAAUCAUGUCAGCACGUCGCUGCUGCUCUUUGGUGGCUUUCCUGACACUUGAAUCCAUAGAGGGACGUGUGCCUUGUACAUUGAUCACCAUCACUCCAUGGCAUUGUCAGCGUAUACUGGGAUCAUUGAGCAUCAACUGUGAGAUUGAUAAGAGCCCCUCCAUUUGUUCAUAACCACACAAAAUCCACAAGUCAUCUUUUUCUUCUUCUUCUUUCUUCCUCCUACUCUUCUUUUCGGGCUACAGAGUCGAGGCUGUUUGUACAUAUCAGAGAAGGCCGCGGUCCAAUUUCAUGCGGGUCUCUGGACAGGUGUCUGAUUUAGGUUGGUAAUGGGAACUUGCUUGUGACAUCAAAAAGAGCUAUCGGCGAUGGAAGUGGACCACUGCGCAGCAUGCCAAGAAGCCAUGCGGUGAAUCUACGUCCUCUGCCUAAUCAGAUCUAUGGUAUGUAAAACUAAAGCCUGCUGCCACUGCCUUACUAGCAUCUCUUGGUCUACAGGAGCUAGUACCAUAUGUUAGGGAAGGAUUCCUUGGCUUGUUAAGGGGCUAUGGACUGAAAAUGUUCAAUUCUCCGUAUCUUGGUUUGCAAAAGCAAUCACUCAUCUAAACUGUUUUCUCCAAGAGUGUAUCAAAUGCAUUGAAUGGCAGGAAGUAAUUAGAUUGCGGGUCCCAUUGGACGGCCUAAUUACUUUUGGCAGUGAAGCCUUGGGGCGGUGAUUAAGAUCAUGGAUCUAACUCAAAGAUUAAGCAUAUGCCACCACUCUCCCAUACUCUGCAGUGCCCUUGAAAGCUAUUUGGUCCCCCUAACUAUCGAUGGAAUGAAGCAUGCAUCUAUAGAUAUGGAGAUAGACGUGGAUUAUCAAGAUCCUUUGAUGUGAUUAUCAGGCCUGUUGAAAAUGAUGGUGCACUAUGGAGCUUCCCAGGCAGAAUGGGGAGGAAUUGGAUUCGAUCCAACUGAUUGUUAAACCAUUGCUUUGGCAUCAACCAUGUUCUAAUAGCCUGUGCAC